GUGGAUGCCUGUGUAGACGCUGCUCUGAGGCUCUGGGUGGCUGGCUGUGCGGUGAGAGCUAUGGAGAGGCUGUGGCAUGUCAGCAAGCAUGAGGAGAGCCGACACAGCAGCCUGGCUUGGCCGAUGAGCCCCCUGGCUCCUGGCACCCUGAGCCGUGCUUGAGCCUCUGUUUGGUGGCCUUUCUGGCCCACUGCCAUGCCUUUCCUGUCUGUGGGAGCGCUUGUACACAGCACAGCAGGGCUGUAGCUACCGCGUCCAUGCUGCUUCCAGUCAGGGCUUCCCAGCUCCGAGUGAAAGGACCUGAAGAUGCCCCUGCUCUUUCUCUCUUCUCUCUCCCUUCCCCUCUCCCUUUCUCCAUGUCCCAGAUGGCGAUUUUGCUGACAUCCUCCAAGAAAGCGCUUCACUCGACAGCCCACAUGUGCCCAGAGAUGUUUGUAGACCUAUCUGAGUCGCAGCCAUGUCCCAGGCUGAAGAGCUGUUCCCCUUAAGUCCAUGCCGAAGAGGCACUGUUGAACCCCCCAGAGCUGAGAGCAUCUUUAAGAGCUCAAAGCACACAACUGCACACUCACAGGCCCUCAGCUUCCCCGAGCCACAGGGCACUGGCUGCCCUGUAAGGGGAGGCUGGCUACGAGGUGACCGUGUGGCUCGCACACGGGGCUGCUCCUCCCAGUGCCCAGCACCUCCUAAAAUGCUGCUCCCUCCACUCUGGGCUCUCCCUGUUUCUAGUGUCUUAACCCAUUCUCCUUCCUGAAUCCAUUCUUUGCAUAUCAGAUUCUGUAAAUGUUUUGUAAACAUAUUACCUCACUCUUGGUAAUACAAUACUGAUAGUCUUUAAAAGAUUUUUUUAUUGUUACAAUAAUAAAUGUGAACUGUU
rnacentral:lncRNA from 1 species